GCUCGGGUGGCGAAAUGGCAGACGCGCCAGACUUAGGAUCUGGUGCCGAGAGGCGUGCGGGUUCGAGUCCCGCCCCGAGCA
rnacentral:tRNA from 1 species